rnacentral:lncRNA from 1 species
AAGAUAGUGUGAAGCUUUUGAGAAUUUAUCGUUGUCCUCCAUUGAUGUAGCUUUUGUGGUGAAGCUUUGUUGGGUACCACAAAUUGAUUUUUCUUCACACUAUCUUGAUCAACAUAGUGUGAAGCUUUUAAGAAUUUGUAGUUGUCCUCCAUUGAUGAAGCUUUUGUUGGUGAAGCUUUUGUGGUGAAGCUUUGUUGGGUACCAUGAAUUGAUUUUGGUUCACACUAUCUUGAUCUAGAUAGUGUGAAGCUUUUGAGAAUUUGUAGUUGUCCUCCAUUGAUGAAGGUUUGUUGAAUUUCCCCUUUUUUUUUUUUUUUUUUUUUUUUUUUGGAAACUAAAAAUUUGAAAAUGUGGGAGAGACAACAUAAACAAAUUUUGCUUCCACACUGUCGAGCAAGAGAUUAUGAUGCAAGUCACACCUUGUAGUAGUCGAAGGUUUAGAUGAAGCAUACAAAUUGAAUUUGCUUUGAACAGUCUUGAAUUUGCUUCGAACAGUCUUGAAUUUGCCUCGAAGAAUUGAGAAUUGUAGUUGCCCUCCAUUGAUGAAGCUUUUGUUGGCACCAUAAAUUGGUUUUGCUUCACACUGUCUUGAUCAAGAGUGUGUGAGGCUUUUGAGAAUUGUGGUUGCCCUCCAUUGAUGAAGCUCUUGUUGGCACCAUAAAUUGGUUUUGCUUCACAUUGUCUUGAUCAAGAGUGUGUGAAGCUUUUGAGAAUUGCGGUUUCCCUCCGUUGAUGAAGCUCUAGUUGGCACCAUAAAUUGGUUUUGCUUCACACUGUCUUGAUCAAGAGUGUGUGAAGCUUUUGAGAAUUGUGGUUGAACUCCUUUGAUGAAGUUUUUGUUGGCACCAUAAAUUGGUUUUGCUUCACAUUGUCUUGAUCAGGAGUGUGUGAAGCUUUUGAGAAUUGUGGUUGCCCUCCAUUCAUGAAGCUCUUGUUGGCACCAUAAAUUGGUUUUGCUUCGUUUCAACUUAUUGUCUUGAUCAAGAAUGUGAAGCUUUCUACGAGUUGUAGUGUUUGCAUUGUUACAGAGGGGAGAUGUCUGAAGCAAAUGCAAGAGGGCUAAAUAGCUUGUUCUUCAUAUGCUGUGCACUGAAGUUGUUGUUGGCUUACAAUAGGAUUUGUUGGUGACUAUAACUCUUGUUGGGCAUCAGUGCUCCCCUAGUUAAGUUGUCAAGCUUGAGGGUUUUUUUAUUAUUUGUGAAUGCUAGUAGUUCACAUGUACAGGUUGUACCACUCGUCCUUCUGGUAGGUGGAAUGAAUGGUGAGUUGCUUUCAUCACUUGGUUGGUGGUACGAAGGUGAGUUCUUUCAUCACCUUUCAUCACAUUUCAUCACCUGGUUGAUGGCAUGAGGAUGAGUUCUUUCUUCACCUGGUUGGUGGCAUGAAUGGAAAGUUGCUAAAUGAUAUUAGAGUACGGGUUGUACAUUUCAUCACCUGGUUGGUGGCAUGAAGUAGAGUACGGGUUGUACAUUUCAUCACCUAGUUGGUGGCAUGAAGAUGAGUUCCUUCUUCACCUGGUUAGUGGCAUGAAUGGCAAGUUGCCAAAUGAUAUUAGAGUACUGGUUGUACAUUUCAUCACCUGGUUGGUGGCAUGAAGAAGAGUACAGGUUGUACAUUUCAUCACCUGGUUAGUGGAAUGAAGAAGAGUACGGGUUGUACAUUUCAUCACCUGGUUGGUGGCACGAAGAUGAGUUCGUUCUUUACCUGGUUGGUGGCAUAAGUGGCAAGUGGCAAAUGAUAUUAGAGUACGGGUUGUACAUUUCAUGCAUGAAGAUGAGUUCCUUCUUCACCUGGUUGUUGGCCUGAGUGGCAAGUUGCCAAAUGAUAUUAUAGCAAGGUGUCGAGGCACAUUUCAUCACCUGGUUGGUGAGAAUAAGGGCAAGGUGUCGAGGCACAUUGUAGCAAGUGUCGAAGACACAAAGUAUGUUGAACCCAUUCGAAUCACAGUUGGCUUAUGUAUGGAUGU